rnacentral:rRNA from 1 species
UCCGUAGGUGAACCUGCGGAAGGAUCAUUACCACACCUAAAAAACUUUCCACGUGAACCGUUUCAACCCAAUAGUUGGGGGUCUUAUUUGGCGGCGGCUGCUGGCUUAAUUGUUGGCGGCUGCUGCUGAGUGAGCCCUAUCAAAAAAAAAAGGCGAACGUUUGGGCUUCGGCCUGAUUUAGUAGUCUUUUUUUUCUUUUAAACCCAUUCCUUAAUACUGAAUAUACUGUGGGGACGAAAGUCUCUGCUUUUAACUAGAUAGCAACUUUCAGCAGUGGAUGUCUAGGCUCGCACAUCGAUGAAGAACGCUGCGAACUGCGAUACGUAAUGCGAAUUGCAGGAUUCAGUGAGUCAUCGAAAUUUUGAACGCAUAUUGCACUUCCGGGUUAGUCCUGGAAGUAUGCCUGUAUCAGUGUCCGUACAUUAAACUUGACUUUCUUCCUUCCGUGUAGUCGGUGGAGGAGAUGUCAGAUGUGAAGUGUCUUGCGAUUGGUCUUCGGACCGGCUGCGAGUCCUUUUAAAUGUACUAAACUGAACUUCUCUUUGCUCGAAAAGUGGUGGCGUUGCUGGUUGUGAAGGCUGCUAUUGUGGCAAAUUGGCGACUGGUUUGUCUGCUGCGGCAUUAAUGGAAGAGUGUUCGAUUCGUGGUAUGGUUGGCUUCGGCUGAACAAUGCACUUAUUGGACGUUUUUCCUGCUGUGGCGUGAUGGACUGGUGAACCAUAGCUCGGUGGCUUGGCUUUUGAAUUGGCUUUGCUGUUGCGAAGUAGGGUGGCAGCUUCGGUUGUCGAGGGUCGAUCCAUUUGGGAACUUAAUGUGUACUUCGGUAUGCAUCUCAAUUGGACCUGAUAUCAGGCAAGAUUACCCGCUGAACUUAAGCAUAUCAAUAAGCGGAGGA